rnacentral:rRNA from 1 species
AAAUUGAAGAGUUUGAUCAUGGCUCAGAUUGAACGCUGGCGGCAGGCCUAACACAUGCAAGUCGAGCGGUAGCACAGAGAGCUUGCUCUCGGGUGACGAGCGGCGGACGGGUG